rnacentral:rRNA from 1 species
GAUGAACGCUGGCGGCGUGCCUAAUACAUGCAAGUCGAGCGAAUGGAUUGAGAGCUUGCUCUUAUGAAGUUAGCGGCGGACGGGUGAGUAACACGUGGGUAACCUGCCCAUAAGACUGGGAUAACUCCGGGAAACCGGGGCUAAUACCGGAUAACAUUUUGAACCGCAUGGUUCGAAAUUGAAAGGCGGCUUCGGCUGUCACUUAUGGAUGGACACGCGUCGCAUUAGCUAGUUGGUGAGGUAACGGCUCACCAAGGCAACGAUGCGUAGCCUACCUGAAAGCGUGGUCGGCCACACUGGGACUGAGACACGGCCCAGACUCCUACGGGAGGCAGCAGUAGGGAAUCUUCCGCAACGGACGAAAGUCUGACGGAGCAACGCCGCGUGAGUUAUGAAGGCUUUCGGGUCGGAAAACUCUGUUGUUAGGGAAGAACAAGUGCUAGUUGAAUAAGCUGGCACCUUGACGGUACCUAACCAGAAAGCCACGGCUAACUACGUGCCAGCCGCCGCGGUAA